rnacentral:rRNA from 1 species
GAUGAACGCUGGCGGCGUGCCUAAUACAUGCAAGUCGAGCGAACAGACGAGGAGCUUGCUCCUCUGACGUUAUCGGCGGACGGGUGAGUAACACGUGGAUAACCUACCUAUAAGACUGGGAUAACUUCGGGGAACCGGAGCUAAUACCGGAUGAUAUAUUGAACCGCAUGGUUCAAUAGUGAAAGACGGUUUUGCUGUCACUUAUAGAUGGAUCCGCGCCGCAUUAGCUAGUUGGUAAGGUAACGGCUUAACAAGGCAACGAUGCGUAGCCGCCCUGAGAGGGUGGUCGGCCACACUGGAAGUGAGACACGGUCCAGACUCCUACGGUAGGCAGCAGUAGGGAAUCUUCCGCGAUGGGCGAAAGCCGGACGGAGCAACGCCGCGGGAGUGAUGAAGGUCUUCGGAUCGUAAAACUCUGUUAUUAGUAAAGAACAAAUGUGUAAGUAACUAUGCACGUAUUGACGGUACCGAAUCAGAAAGCCACGGCUAACUACGUG